GGUCGGAAUACUAGGCCAGUCCCGGUUACUUUUGACAGUGAUGGAUCCAGGGGGAGGGUUCCGGGUUCCCCCCUUUUUUGGACGAUCAAUGCCUUUGAAUGGGGAAAUAUAGUUGGAACACUCCCUUUUUGUCCUGGGUUGGGAACCCCCUUUUAAAAUGGCUGGAUCGCCCGAUUGAUCGUUGCUGGAUCCAUUAGUCUAUUUUAAUAACAUUCAGUGCUCUGAUUCAAUUAUUUUAGUUUUAAUGCUGAUAUUUCUUUUUUUUUUAAUAUGAACUCGGUUGACAUAUUGAUAGAUACAACAGAAAAUUGCAAAUCAACAAAAUAAC
rnacentral:lncRNA from 1 species